rnacentral:tRNA from 1 species
GAGAGAGUUUUAACUAGCCUGCUAACCUAGUACUCCAAAAUUAACCCCUUGGCCCUCUCCA